GGGCUUAACAGCGAGAGCCGCGGCUUCGGGUUGAGAAGUUCGAACAGCGGCGACUUCCUUCUGCUUUUCACUUCGAAUUAAUAAGACAUAUGCCUUAUUAACUGUUGGUAAUGGCUCCAUGGACAGCAGCUGAUCUCGCAACGUGUCGUAGGAGUCCUUGAGACCAAAAAGAAACUGAUGUAGUCUCUCUUCUUCUUUCUCAACUUGGAUCUCUCUAGUGGCUC
rnacentral:lncRNA from 1 species